rnacentral:rRNA from 1 species
GGGAAUUUUGCGCAAUGGGGGAAACCCUGACGCAGCAACGCCGCGUGGAGGAUGAAAUCCCUUGGGAUGUAAACUCCUUUCGAUCGGGACGAUAAUGACGGUACCGAUAGAAGAAGCCCCGGCUAACUUCGUGCCAGCAGCCGCGGUAAUACGAGGGGGGCAAGCGUUGUUCGGAAUUAUUGGGCGUAAAGGGUGCGUAGGCGGUUUGACAAGUUCUAUGUGAAAUCUAUGGGCUCAACCCAUAGUCUGCAUGGAAAACUGUCAGGCUUGAGGAUGGGAGAGGUGAGUGGAAUUUCCGGUGUAGCGGUGAAAUGCGUAGAUAUCGGAAGGAACACCUGUGGCGAAAGCGGCUCACUGGACCAUUUCUGACGCUGAUGCACGAAAGCUAGGGGAGCAAA